GGCUCGGUGGCGGAUGGUCCGCGUCUGCGUAGUAUAGCUCUGUUGCAGAAUUGGAUUGUUCCGCGGAAUUCACCCGUUCGAUUCGGGUCCGAGCCA